rnacentral:rRNA from 1 species
GGGGAGGCAGCAGUAGGGAAUCUUCGGCAAUGGGCGAAAGCCUGACCGAGCAACGCCGCGUGAGCGAUGAAGGCCUUCGGGUCGUAAAGCUCUGUUGUUAGAGAAGAACAAGUACGAGAGUAACUGCUCGUACCUUGACGGUACCUAACCAGAAAGCCACGGCUAACUACGUGCCAGCAGCCGCGGUAAUACGUAGGUGGCAAGCGUUAUCCGGAAUUAUUGGGCGUAAAGCGCGCGCAGGCGGUCUCUUAAGUCUGAUGUGAAAGCCCACGGCUCAACCGUGGAGGGUCAUUGGAAACUGGGAGACUUGAGUGCAGGAGAGAAAAGUGGAAUUCCACGUGUAGCGGUGAAAUGCGUAGAGAUGUGGAGGAACACCAGUGGCGAAGGCGGCUUUUUGGCCUGUAACUGACGCUGAGGCGCGAAAGCGUGGGGAGCAAACAGGAUUAGAUACCCUGGUAGUCCACGCCGUAAACGAUGAGUGCUAGGUGUUGGGGGGUUCCACCCUCAGUGCUGAAGUUAACACAUUAAGCACUCCGCCUGGGGAGUACGACCGCAAGGUUGAAACUCAAAGAAAUUUUGACGGAG